UGAUUACAAAAGAAGAAAUAGCAGCCU
rnacentral:piRNA from 1 species